UACGGAGGGAGCUAGCGUUGUUCGGAAUUACUGGGCGUAAAGCGCACGUAGGCGGCUUUGUAAGUUAGGGGUGAAAGCCUGGAGCUCAACUUCAGAAUUGCCCUUAAGACUGCAUCGCUUGAAUCCAGGAGAGGUGAGUGGAAUUCCGAGUGUAGAGGUGAAAUUCGUAGAUAUUCGGAAGAACACCAGUGGCGAAGGCGGCUCACUGGACUGGUAUUGACGCUGAGGUGCGAAAGCGUGGGGAGCAGACAGG
rnacentral:rRNA from 1 species